rnacentral:rRNA from 2 species
GUGGUAACACAUGGAGCUGACUGUUACUAAUCGGGUGAGGGCUUGACCAA